rnacentral:rRNA from 1 species
UACGGGGGGAGCAAACGUUGUUCGGAAUCACUGGGCGUAAAGGGCGUGUAGGCGGUUCGGUAAGUGGAAUGUGAAAGCCCCAGGCUCACCCUGGGAACUGCAUCCCAUACUGCUGGACUUGAGUGCGGGAGAGGAUGGAGGAAUUCCUGGUGUAGCGGUGAAAUGCGUAGAUAUCAGGAGGAACACCUGUGGUGUAGACAGCUUACUGGACCAUUUCUGACGCUGAGACACGAAAGCGUGGGUAGCAAACAGG